UUCCCGAGCGGUGACCAGAGCAGAGCGCGGGGCAACACAAACACCCAGCCGCCGGCACCAGCUCCCACCGACGAGGCUGGCUCACUGGGCGGGCACCGCGGGGCCAAAACACACCCUCUGGGAAAUCCAGUUUCCUUCGCUGGGAUCUGUGUUCAUCGGGUCGUUUCUGGUCUUAAUUUGAUUUCGGAUGGUUUCCUCGCUGGAAGAGAAAGCCCUAAUGGGGCCCAGACCACGCAGUGAUUCAGUUUUCUUCUUCCCUUAGGAACCUCCAGUGUGUGCUGGCGUUGGGUGUUUGCUCCAAAUCAUCUUCUCUCUCAGGCCCAACUGCAUUUGCCCCCAGCAGGAGAGCAGUCCCCCUGAGCAAUGGAUUAAGCCAACAAACAUUUAUUAAGAGCCGGCUGUCUACUUGGAAGCAAGCAAGGACUGAAGGUGCUGGGACCCAACAGAGGGAGCCUGCCCUUCCCAGGGACCAUGGGGCUCCCUGCAGCAGAAAUGCACUGACAUCUGCCUCUAGCCCUUGAGGUUCCAGAAAACCUGAGGCACAGGAAAGGAGUGAUAUGCCCUUAUCGGCCUGAAGACUGGACCCACCGGAGAGAACCUGUUACAAGUCAAUUCAUUCUCCAGGUCCAUUCAUUCUCCCUGCUAAUCAUUUACCACCCUCCACACUGAGCCUAUGAAGAAGGGUGUGUAUGCAUCGACUGCAGAGGGUUGGUCGGCGAUGACGCUCCUCCCGCUGUUGUCUACAAAGCCAACCCCUGGGCUCAGCUCAUCAGAACACCCACCCUGUUCCAUGGAAUGAAGUGUCGCCCAAUUCUGGAAUCAAAAAUAAAGCCAAUGAAGAUCCUUAAAUCAAA